ACUCAGGAGGAAAAUUAAGUGCUUGAAUAUUAAUAGUUAUAUUCUUUAAAAUCAAAGAAUUUGGCGGUAUUUUAGUCUUGUCAGAGGAACUUGUUUUAUAAGCGAUAAAACACGUAGGAUCUUACUUACCUUAGUAAUUUUACAGUUUGUAUACCGUCAUUAUUAAAUAAUCUUGAAAAAGAUAAUUAUUGGGAUUAAUAGGUUAAAUAUAUUAGAUCAAGGUGCAGCUGAUAGGUAAGCAGAAAUGAGUUACAAUAAUAUUUAUUUAGGACGGAUUAUAGAUAAAAUUAUUUAUAAAGAAGGUGGAUGUGAUUGUAAGGAAGGUUUAAUAAGCCUUCUUGGUAUAAGCUCUAAAUUAUGUACAUAUUGCCCGUCACUUUCAUUUAAAAU
rnacentral:rRNA from 1 species